CUAGUUUUGUUACGAAGAAAACAGAAAGCAAGCAACUUUCAUCUAGAGUUUCACUUUGAGCAAGAAUAGUAAUAAAUCGUGUAAUGCAUGUGCAAAGCACUAGGAGGCAACAAUCAUGGAACAAGGUACAGUAAAAUGGUUUAACGCAGACAAAGGUUUUGGAUUUAUUGAGCGUGAAGGUAACGAAGACGUAUUCGUACACUUCUCUGCAAUCCAAACUGACGGAUUCAAAACUUUAGAUGAAGGUCAAAAAGUUAGCUUUGAAAUCACUCAAGGUGACCGUGGACCUCAAGCUGCAAACGUUUCAAAAGAAGGCUAAUAACCGAUUAAAACAGACUCUUUGAGUCUGUUUUUUU
rnacentral:other from 1 species